rnacentral:sRNA from 2 species
UUGCUCAAUGGCUACCUAAUUGAGCAAUCUUUGCAAUCUUCUGCUGCAGCCUGAGGCGUAAGCUUUACCUCAGUUUCAAGGCCCGGACACAGUGUCCAGGCGCGACGCCCAACCAGGUGACGCGCUGCCGCCGACCCCACCGGGUCGUAGCGGCCCCCGGGUCCGCACUGCCCAACCAGGCGGGCGACGAAAGCGGCGACAGAAUUGCCAGCACAGGACAACGUUCCCCAGGGGAGGCCGCGAGGCCUCCCU